rnacentral:SRP_RNA from 1 species
AAAUAAGUAUAUUAGUAUAGCGGUUUUGUAAAGGGUGUAUGUAGCAGUCCUUCCGUGCCUAAGCGGGUCUUAUGCAAUGGAAAUCUGCGAACCGUGUCAGGUCGGGAACGAAGCAGCACUAAGUAGAACCUUUCAUGUGUUGUAAGGUCGCCUACUUAGGCCGGGAGUAAACGUACAUGCAUCCUUUACAGAACCGCCUUUUUU